rnacentral:lncRNA from 1 species
CGCCUCCGCGUCGUCCCGGCCUCCGAUGAAGAGCACCGCCACGUUUUUCCAUGUACUGGUCAUCAAGACGGAGCGUCGUCCCUUGCACUCCCCUCGGUCUAUGAAUAUGGCGACCGAACAUGGUGCCGCUUCCAGGACGUUAAGGUUGAUGUUCCUGAUGGGCCCGUUGACUUGUCCGACCGUCCCGUCGAUCGCGUAUUGCUUGUGGAAUGGAAUCACGAUUAGUGUCGCCUUCUUGUCAAGUGCGAGCGUGCAUACGUCGUUGUUUAUACUCGAGAAAGGCGCGGCUGCGGUGAAAUGUUGCGCCAUGAGUGUACCCUGAUGCAUCAUAUGUUUAAGAUAAUAAAUAGGUAUUGUUUCCAAGUUAUAUUUUAUCUAUAACAAAUUUUAGAAUACAGUUUAGAUUUUUUUUUUGAAAAAAAAAAAGUUUAGGUUUGUAUAUCUCUUUACGUUUAUAUUUUAGAAUGUAUAUUUCCCAAAUUUUGUUGAUUAAGUAUAUUAGGCCAAAAAGGUUGUUAGUUGGAAAUGUAAACGCCAAACGCAAAACGAACCAAAUCGUUCACUUAAACGCCAAAUGAAUUAAUAUCUUCAAGUAUAAAAGCAUUUUUGAAAUUUGAAGAAGGUUUUAUAGGAAAAUUUUUAAUUUGUUUUUCUUGUAUACGCAGACAAAAUAAAAGAAAAAAAUAAUGUUUAUAAUUUACCUGAUACUUUUGCUCAAACCGUUGGAAGGCACUGACAAUGUAUGUGGACUGGGCCGUGUUUGGGUCAAGUUUGUUCAUCUGGUGGUGUGGCGUGAGGACUGCGUGAGAUCGGCCUUUAAGCUCCACAAGGUGCAGCGUGAAGAAUGAGAUGGGAUUAAAUCUUGUCGGGUACGUAGCUUCUAAAAGGUUCACCAUGGAAGGAACGUUUUCGACGUUGUACAUGCAAAGAAGAAGACGGAGCUGAAGAUUGCGUUCCCUCGUGUUGAGGAUCGUUCGUUUGCUUCUGCAUUUGUAGCGUUUCGAUGGAUCGUAGAGGUACACCACGAGGUACCGCGAAAUUCCGGUUACAAGUAAAAGCGUAACUAUCACUAGAUUAAAGCAUUCUGUAUCAACAACCUGUCGGUCUAUGAAUAUGGCGACCGAACAUGGUGCCGCUUCAAGGACGUUAAGGUUGAUGUUCCUGAUGGGCCCGUUGACUUGUCCGACCGUCCCGUCGAUCGCGUAUUGCUUGUGGAAUGGAAUCACGAUUAGUGUCGCCUUCUUGUCAAGUGCGAGCGUGCAUACGUCAUUGUUUAUACUCGAGAAAGGCGCGGCUGCGGUGAAAUGUUGCGCCAUGA